GACGUAGGUGGCGAACGUUAUCCGGAAUUAUUGGGCGUAAAGGGUGCGUAGAUGGCCUGACAAGUUAGCAGUGGGAAAUCGAGGCUCAACCUCGUGGAAGCUGGUAAUACUGUCUGGCUCGAGUGCAGGAGAGGUUAACGGAACUCCAUGUGGAGCGGUAAAAUGCGUAGAUAUAUGGAAGAACACCAAUAACGGCGAAGGCAGUUAACUAUUCUGCUACUGACAUUGAGGCACGAAAGCGUGGGGAGCAAAAAGG
rnacentral:rRNA from 1 species